rnacentral:lncRNA from 1 species
GCGGAGCGUUUAGAGUUCCGGCUGCUCCUUAGGGAUCUCUGCCUCCUCACCAGCAGGCUGGGAGCCGGCCCUUCUCGCUGUUUCUGGCGUCUGCCUCCAGCAAGUCCUCCCGUUUCUCUACCUCUUCCCUCAUUUCCCGUCUGCCCAGCUUUGUGUGAAACCAGACGACAAAGGGUGUUCGGAUUAAGAGCCAGAUGUUAGAGAAAUUUCUGGAAUGUUCCAGGUACACCUAUGUCCUCCAACACGAAAGUUAAAGCAUGUCCUUGAGACUUCUCAGACACCACUGCCACUCUCUUAGAUGAGAAAACCGAGGCAGUUUGAAGGCUGCAAAGAAGUCAGACACGGGUCCCGCCACGAGAAUUUACACCAGGGCUGCAGGAAAGCAUCGCGUGAGGAUUGAGAACUUGGGCUCUGGAAAGACAGACCUGGGUAGCAUCUCAGCUCCACUGCUUCCUGGCCCUGUGACCUCAGAUGAAGCUGGCCAGGACGCCUUCAAGAGAAGGAAUCAGAACUUCUGAUUUUGUGCUAAAGCUUCGUCCCAUGAUGUGGGCCAAUUAUCUUUGGUAAACAAAGGCAACUGGAGGAACGAGAGGAGGAUUUUGAGCUCCCCCUACAGCCACAGGAACAUCACGAUUCUGGGCAAGCUAGUUGCACAAGAUGACACCAGGUAUAUUUCAUGGGUAUUUCUUCUUCCCGCCCUCCCCAGCGUUGAUAUCAACAAGCAC